rnacentral:rRNA from 1 species
GACGAACGCUGGCGGCGUGCUUAACACAUGCAGGUCGAACGGAAAGGCCCUGCUUUUGUGGGGUGCUCGAGUGGCGAACGGGUGAGUAACACGUGAGUAACCUGCCCUUGACUUUGGGAUAACUUCAGGAAACUGGGGCUAAUACCGGAUAGGAGCUCCUGCUGCAUGGUGGGGGUUGGAAAGUUUCGGCGGUUGCGAUGGACUCGCGGCUUAUCAGCUUGUUGGUGGGGUAGUGGCUUACCAAGGCUUUGACGGGUAGCCGGCCUGAGAGGGUGACCGGCCACAUUGGGACUGAGAUACGGCCCAGACUCCUACGGGAGGCAGCAGUGGGGAAUAUUGCACAAUGGGCGGAAGCCUGAUGCAGCAACGCCGCGUGCGGGAUGACGGCCUUCGGGUUGUAAACCGCUUUCGCCUGUGACGAAGCGUGAGUGACGGUAAUGGGUAAAGAAGCACCGGCUAACUACGUG